rnacentral:rRNA from 1 species
GAUGAACGCUGGCGGCGUGCCUAAUACAUGCAAGUCGAGCGAACGGACGAGGAGCUUGCUCCUCUGACGUUAGCGGCGGACGGGUGAGUAACACGUGGAUAACCUACCUAUAAGACUGGGAUAACUUCGGGAAACCGGAGCUAAUACCGGAUAAUAUAUUGAACCUCAUGGUUCAAUAGUGAAAGACGGUUUUGCUGUCACUUAUAGAUGGAUCCGCGCCGGAUUAGCUAGUUGGUAAGGUAACGGCUUACCAAGGCAACGAUGCGUAGCCGACCUGAGAGGGUGAUCGGCCACACUGGAACUGAGACACGGUCCAGACUCCUACGGGAGGCAGCAGUAGGGAAUCUUCCGCAAUGGGCGAAAGCCUGACGGAGCAACGCCGCGUGAGUGAUGAAGGUCUUCGGAUCGUAAAACUCUGUUAUUAGGGAAGAACAAAUGUGUAAGUAACUAUGCACGUCUUGACGGUACCUAAUCAGAAAGCCACGGCUAACUACGUG